GGGCAAGUAGCUCAGUUGGUUAGAGCACUACUCUGAUAAGGUAGGGGUCAUAGGUUCAAGUCCUAUCUUGCCCA
rnacentral:tRNA from 1 species